AUGUGGUAUCUCCGUAGGGGAGUUGUGCUAACAAAAGACAACCUCGCACGACGCAACUGGUCGGGAAGUAAGAAGUGUUGUUUUUGUACUCAUGACGAGACAAUUAAACACCUCUUUUUUCACUGUAAGUUUGCGCGUUCUACGUGGUCAGCCAUCCAAAUAGCGUCAAAUUUGUAUCCGCCCACAAGUGUUGCCAAUAUUUUUGGUCAUUGGCUGGACGGUAUUUCAAAUGCAUACAAAACGCUAAUAAGGGUGGGAGGGUAUUACUUACUAUGGUCGCUUUGGCUAUGUAGAAAUGAUGUUUUUUUUAAUGACAAAACUGUUUCUCCUUUGCAGGUUAUUUUUCGUUGUACGCACUCGCUUCGUACGUGGUGUACGCUACAACGGAGUGAAUUGCGAAAAACCACCAUAUUGAAGUGUAGGUUUGCAGGAAAGACUCUUCUACGAAUUUGUGCCAAAAAACACUGA
rnacentral:rRNA from 1 species